GAAUGAAAAUAAAAGUCUCCACCCAUAUUGCAAAAAUUUAAGCUAGAUCAUUUGUACUUAUAUUCCUUUCUAUGUAUACAUAGAAACAUUCUAUUGGACCUUUUUGUGGAAAAUGUCAUUUGCAUUCACUUCUUCUGUUGCUAAAUUCUACAUGUUCCUCUGUCUUGUUCUUCUCCUUAUUUCCUCAUGUGUACCGGAAGCAAAACUUUGUGGAAGGCCAAGUAGAACAUAUUUAGGUCCUUGUACUGACUGGGACUGUGAUAAAGAGUGCAUUGAUUCGGAGUUGGAUGCAAUGUUAGGUUCUUGUGAAGGCUCUUAUUGCUUCUGCUUCUUCAAUUGUUAGGUUUUAGAUCAAGAAAUUAACCACCAGUGAUUUGCAUGCGACAGUGAAUGCAGGCCUCGACGAGUUUAUGCUGCUCUGCGCCUUUCUUCUGAAGACGAGACAACUCUGCACCUGGUUUCUGGUUGUUUAUGGGGUCUGUUUAGUUAUCUGAGGUGGUUGCGCACUGGUUUAGUAAUUCUGUUUUGCGCCUAGAGGUUGUUAGUAGCUAGAUUUUGCCUCUAAUGUUCCAUUUUUAGGGUCCAUUUGGAUUGAUUUAUUUUUGAGUUUAUUUCGAAAUAAUGUAUAUAAAUAAAUAAGUUUUUAUGUAUUAGUAUAAAUUUUUUAAGGUAGUUUAUGGAAAAACCAAUUUAUUAAGA